CGCGUAGGCGGCCUGCUAAGUCUGAAGUGAAAGUCCUGCUUUCAAGGUGGGAAUUGCUUCGGAUACUGGUGGGCUGGAGUGCAGGAGAGGAAAGCGGAAUUACCGGUGUAGCGGUGAAAUGCGUAGAGAUCGGUAGGAACACCAGUGGCGAAGGCGGCUUUCUGGACUGAAACUGACGCUGAGGCGCGAAAGCGUGGGGAGCAAACA
rnacentral:rRNA from 1 species